UACCUGCAACCUCGCGUUGUUUAUCGGUCUGUCUUUCGAUUUCGCUUUGCAGGGGACCAGCGCGAACGCCGGAUCCCCCAUCGCAAAAAUUGCAUGCCCCAACUACCCCUAUUUGGGGGGAGUGGCGAACCUCAGCAAACCCAUAGUGCAAUGGUAAGCCUUAGCUCGGGGAGCUGGCCUUCCUGUUCACCAUGACUCCCGACACCAGGGAAAUAAAAGUCACGUAUAAUCAGCGCUACAGAAUAAGCAUGCGCAAAUGUAAGUGGUGGGAUGGACUUACGAGUGGAACAGCGGACACGGCGCAGAAGACCGCCAUCAGGACGAUAACUGCAAACAAGGCAGAGAAAAGAUGCACUGUCUGGUGGUCACUGGUGAUGACUUUGUCUGGCUGUGCUGUUACAACUAUAGAACUACAGCAGCAAGGCGGCAACUGUUACGGAAAGUGCCCCAUAUUUGAAAUCUAACGUUGAAGUGAACACAUGAUUAAGCAUUGAAGAGAUCAGCGAUUUGUGCAUCCAGCUUUUGUUCCUCGUGUAUGCUAUCUGUUUUGUGCGACAUGUGCCGUACAUGAACGCCGAAAUACCGAUUGAAUCAUGUUCAGAGCACGUUUGAACCCGUCACGCCAGCACCGCGAUUGUGAUAGUCAUUUGCUGCUUUACCAGUGCACUUGGGUUCAAGGCGGGCUUGUGCA